CUCAUGUUAGGUCCCACUUAUUCUCAUUAGGCCCUGCCUCCUCCUCAAACAGCUUCUCAGUUUAUAAUCUUUUCCUUCCAGCACUGCCACCUGGUGCCGAUCUCAAAGGGGGAGGAACCUAAUGAGAGGGUGGAGCCUAGCGCGGCACACCUUGAUGAUUCGUGCCUUUGCACCCACCCAGGAUUGGCCUUGGCUCAUUAAGAAGCAUAGUAAUACUGCAUGCGCGUGUAUUCCUCGGCACAGACUAAGUCUGUAACUCUUGCAAAGUGUGUUUCCA